ensembl:snRNA U6 U6 spliceosomal RNA
GUGCUCGCUUCUGCAGCACAUAUACUAAAAUUGGAAUGAUACAGAGAAGAUUAGCAUGGCCCCUGCACAAGGAUGACACGCCAAUUUGUGAAGUGUUCCAUAUUUUU